rnacentral:lncRNA from 1 species
UAUUUUAUAUUUCAUAAGAAAUUUCAAUGGCAAGGAAAAUAAUGAAAAUUGAAACUCAACUUCUUAAAAGCAGUGGGCACAAUUCAGAACACUGCUGGUUUAUAUCCAGUUCAGUAUCAGCUAGUAAUUAGUUUUGAAUAUGAGCUAAUUUGACUCCAAAUUAAGAGUUAAAAGAGAAUGGAAAAAAAAAAAAAGAAUACAUAAUAUAGACUCAGGUAACCUAAUCUUAUCUUCUGGUAAGGUGUAAGUUUUCGAUGAAGCCCAUCAUCAAAUUGUUUGGAGGACACAGCUAUAUAGCAGUGUGUCUACUCAAGAACUACUUAACAGAGGAUAAUAGAAAGUUCAAGUAGCUUCUGCAUUUGAAUAUGAUGUUCUUCUAGUACUUUUUUAUUAUAUAGGAUAAAAGCCUUUCUACAGAUGAAGGCUCAUAGUCUUCUCUUUUAACCAAAAUUCUGUUCAAGUCCCUAACUUGUUCCAUUUUCCACAGUAAAACCAGUGAACUUAGACUGGUGAACAUGGGGUUGGAAUAUCCUCUAUGCAUGUUUUUCCAGUGGAAUUUACUCCUUAAGGUCAUUGAUAGUGAAAGCAAGCAAUAUGUUUCCUGGUGUUCAACCAUGUGGCACUUAAAAUGGACAGCUUUGCAUUUGUGGUCAAAGGGAAGACUUCAGCCUGCUUCUCCUUAGUCCCUAGGCAUCGUUUGGAGGACAUGUGCUCCUCUUCUUUCAAGCUACUCGACACAAGUUUGGUCCCAGCCCAGCAGGAGGUGGUGCCCCACUAGAAUGUCAGCUGUUUUGACAAAAGUUUGGCCCUUUUAACAAUUUUUAUGUGUACAAGGAAGAUCUAUCUGAUCUGUAGCAUUUGCCUUUUUGUCCACUAAGUGUAACUAUCAACUAACAUAAAGAAGCUAUAAUUACUAUGUAGCUAGAAUUACAAAAUAGAGUUUGUGGGGAACAUGCUCCAUCUUUUACAGCAGAGUAGUAAUGUUUAACAUCUCUUCUGCCUACUCAUAGCUUGGUACACAACAUAGCUAAAAUUGUAUAGAUCUCAUCAACCAAAGUGGCAUUCCCUUCAGACUAAAAAAGUCCUAGAUCCUAGUGAAUAUAAUAAAGAGAAAGAGUCUUUUC